rnacentral:snoRNA from 1 species
AAGACUAUACUUUCAAGGAUCAUUUUUAUAGUGCUUUAAAUAUGGUAAGUCCACCAGGAGUGGUGGAAAAGCAGAGGAGCAAAGCCUCAGUGGC